UUUCCGUAGGUGAACCUGCGGAGGGAUCAUUACUGAGUGAGGGCUUCGGUCCGACCUCCAACCCUUUGUGAACCAAACUUGUUGCUUCGGGGGCGACCCUGCCGUUUGCGGCGUGGGGCCCCCGGAGGCCUUCAAACACUGCAUCUUUGCGUCGGAGUUUAAGUAAAUUAAACAAAACUUUCAACAACGGAUCUCUUGGUUCUGGCAUCGAUGAAGAACGCAGC
rnacentral:misc_RNA from 1 species